rnacentral:rRNA from 1 species
CCCUUAGAUGUUCUGGGCCGCACGCGCGCUACACUGACGAUGGCAACGAGUUUUUCCUUCGCCGAAAGGUGUGGGUAAUCUUUUGAAACAUCGUCGUGCUGGGGAUAGAUCAUUGCAAUUUUUGAUCUUGAACGAGGAAUUCCUAGUAAGCGCGAGUCAUCAGCUCGCGUUGAUUACGUCCCUGCCCUUUGUACACACCGCCCGUCGCUACUACCGAUUGAAUGGCUUAGUGAGGACUCCUGAUUGGCGCCGCCGCCCCGGCAACGGAGCAGCGGACUGCCGAAAAGUUGUUCAAACUUGAUCAUUUAGAGGAAGUAAAAGUCGUAACA